UUUUUGACAUUUUUCAAAAGGGAUGUGCCAAUUUCUGAACUCCUAUCACAGCUAUAAAUUUCAAGUUAUUGACCAUCUGCAUGAAUAGCUAAUGAUGAUUUACCUAGAGUCACACUACAGUCACUUCUCUACUGAGAAAACACAAUCUACAAUAUAGUCCCAUAUAGCUAAUGAUAGAUACACAGGUUGUUUUUUCUUUCCUAGCACGAGGCCGAUGGAGCAUCAGCCCACUGUUAUUUUGUUUAAAGCACACAACGUAGCAAUAGUUUUGGAAACUUGUCCGCACCAAAAAAGUUUUUGCAACAACACAGAGCGAGUUAAUAACAACAUCUGAGAGAUGAUUGAAUCAAAGCUAUAUUUACAGCGUUUAAAAAUUAGACUUAUCUAUAAUCUUGAAAUAUUCAAAGUUUUAUUUCUAAGCUAUACAUUGGUAUUCUAUAAUAAACUGUUACAGAAAUUAUCCCUUGUUUUGAAAAUAUUAUGAUUUCAGUGUGUAUCUGUUCAUAACGAGUAUUUGUUUGGAGUUUCGAACUCUUAAUUAUUACUAGGAAGAACCUUAUUACCGGUAAGGAAUAGAAUAUACUACUGUAAUCUCCUGAGGAAUUGUACAUCCAAUAUUGUCUCUAAUUCUACCCUGUGUCUAUAAGCACACACCACAAGAAUCCAAACACCACAAGAAGAACAAGACAACAGUCUUUGAAUGCAACAUAAAAAUUCAGAAAAGCACAGCAAACAUGAAACAUUGAAAAGCUGAACUACAUUUCUUUUGUUUGUUAGGAUUACAAUUUUAAUUACAUCUGUGUACAUAGAAUAAGGAUGUUCACAUAGUACAGGGAGCAGCUACUAACACUGGUACAUUGGUAUAGCAUUUGAUGGAGGUUAUUGUUUAUUGGUUAUUUAGCGACUGUAGUUUUCUGGGGGCAUCUAAUCGGUUUAUACAUUAGAUUACACCUCGUAACAGUCUUGAAACUGACUGACUUUCAUGCUGUGACAAUACUGGUUGAAAAGCACAUAUACUGGUUUAGCUACUUGUUAAAGAUUGCCAUUUACAAAGUAAAAUCUAAAUCAAUAAAUAAGGUAUAGAAGUGUUAAAUUCUUCAAUUUGGUCAGAAGUCUACUACUCUGAUUUCUUAAUUUUGCAAACGUCGGCAUUUGCCUUAUCGCCUCUAAGCUACUAUUGGUUCAUAGGGUUUUUUUCUGCAUGUGAGGUUAUAAUUUUGCAAACAGGCAGUAUCUCGUUCAUUUGCAACUGAAGCAGUUAGAAAUCACGUAGCAACUAUACCUCUGUACAGUCGCUGUCUCCUAACACCGUUACAGAUUGGUAUUUGACACGGAGUUAUUUCUAUGUUAGACUACUCGGAUAUACUGUAGGUGUAAUCUAAUCCUUUGAGAGUCAGUGAACAUUUAGUUAUAAACUGGAGCUCAUGUUAAGAAACUGGAUGUUUUGGACCAGACUGGCACACAACAUAAAUUGCAUCCGUGAUAAUAUGCACCUUCCCUUCGACUAUUGCUUUAGUAAGAUAAAUUCCC
rnacentral:lncRNA from 1 species